UAAUAAGUGUUUUAUGGCACUUUUUAAAUCCAUAUCCACCUUGUGUGCAAUGUCAGUCGAUCUUCUUCAUGGAGAUCGACCAAACAUCAACCUUUAUCUUUUAACUCUUUGUCUGAAAAAUAUUCAUGAUAUUAUUGUAUUAGUGUGUUUUGUAAAACAAGAAAAUCUAUAA
rnacentral:misc_RNA from 1 species